rnacentral:rRNA from 1 species
AAGCUAGGGAGCGAACGGGAUUAGAUACCCCGGUAGUCCUAGCUGUAAACGAUGAGCACUGGAUUGAGGGGACUUCCACAUCCUCUCGGUCGUAGCGAAAGUGUUAAGUGCUCCGCCUGGGGAGUAUUNUNGCAAGGCUGAAACUCAAAGGAAUUGACGGGGGCUCACACAAGCGGUGGAGGAUGUGGCUUAAUUCGAGGCUACGCGAAGAACCUUAUCCUGGUCUUGACAUGCUUGAGAAUCCUCUCGAAAGAGAGGGGUGCCCUUCGGGGAGCUCUUGCACAGGUGCUGCAUGGCUGUCGUCAGCUCGUGUCGUGAGAUGUCGGGUUAAGUCCCUUAACGAGCGAAACCCUUGUCCCUAGUUGCCAGCGGAUCAUGCCGGGGACUCUAGGGAGACCGCCGGUGUUAAACCGGAGGAAGGUGGGGAUGACGUCAAGUCCUCAUGGCCUUUAUGAUCAGGGCUGCACACGUCCUACAAUGGAUCGUACAAAGGGAAGCGAACUCGCGAGAGCAAGCAAAUCCCAAAAAGCGGUCCUCAGUUCGGAUUGCAGGCUGCAACUCGCCUGCAUGAAGCCGGAAUCGCUAGUAAUCGCGGGUCAGCAUACCG